ACGGGGGGGGGGGGGCUUACCAUGCAAGUCGAGCGAAAUAAUUGAGAGCUUGCUUUUGAUUAUUUUAGCGGCCCCUUUAAAGAGUAACGUGUGGGCAACCUACCUUUUACUGUGCCCUAAACAUUGGAAACGACGACUAAUACCGCAUACGAUUUUCUGAAGGCAUCUUCGGAAAAAGAAAGGAGAUAUUCCGUAAAAGAUGGGCCCGCAUCUGAUUACCUAGUUGGUGAGAUAAUAGCCCACCAAGGCAACGAUCAGUAGCCGACCUGAGAGGGUGACCGGCCACAUUGGGACUGAGACUCGGCCCAAACUCCUACGGGAGGCAGCAGUGGGGAAUAUUGCGCAAUGGGCGAAAGCCUGAUGCAGCAUCGCCGCGUGAAGGAAGACGGUUUUCGGAUUGUAAACUUCUAUCAAUAGGGAAGAAAGAGAUGACGGUACCUAAAUAAGAAGCCCCGGCUAACUACGUGCCAGCAGCCGCGGUAAUACGUAGGGGGCAAGCGUUAUCCGGAAUUACUGGGUGUAAAGGGAGAGUAGGCGGCAAGGUAAGCGAUAUGUGAAAGCCUUAAGCUUAACUUAACGAUAGCAUAACGAACUAUCUAGCUAGAGUACAGGAGAGGAAAGCGAAAUUCCUAGUGUAGCGGUGAAAUGCGUAAAUAUUAUGAAGAACACCAGUGGCGAAGGCGGCUUUUCGGGACUGAAACUGACCCUGAGGCUCGAGAGCGUGUGGAGCGAACAGGAUUAAAUACCCUGGUAGUCCACGCUGUACACGAUGAGUGCUAUGGGUCCGGGAGGAGUUCCCGGUGCCCGAACCAACGCAUUAUUCUUCCCCCUUGUGAGUUAGACGGCAGGUUCACACUUAUGGAAAUGACCGGGGCCCCCCCGCCGGGCGGACCUGUGUUU
rnacentral:rRNA from 1 species